rnacentral:lncRNA from 1 species
GAGAAUGUCUCCAAGAAGGUGAGCCUUCAAUUUACCUUAGUGGGGUGAGAAUCCUAACCUCUUCAUAGCUUUUGGUUUCUCGGAUAACAGGUUAUUAAAAGGGGAGGAAAGUGAAUUGAGAAAUCAAGAGUAAUUUUAUUCUAUUUUGCUUCUCUUCAUUGGGGAUCAAAAUUUCCUAGCACUUCGUAAACCUUUUAGGGAUCGUUUGGUUUGAUGGAUGGGAUAGAUAAGAUUGAUAGAAUUGGAGAGUGAUUAAAUAAUCCACCAACUUCGGGGUACUAAAUAAUCACUCAAUUGCAUGAUUAGAGUGUGAGUGAGCCUAGUUAUCCAUCACGUGCCCAAUCAUGCAAACCAAACACUUGAUUAAGUUGGAUUAUUUAUCAAUCAUGCCUUAUCACUCAAACCAAACACCUCCUUAAUAGCUUUUGGUUCUUUUCUGGNAAAAUAAAAUCUCCACUAGUUUUACUUCCAAUUUUAUUAUAUACUAGUAGUACUAAAUUAAAUUCUGCUCCAAAUCCUUUCCUUCACAUGAAAAUACAUGUGAAAUUUAAUGUGCAUUCAAUUUUGGCAAAAUUAUUGAACACUUGAAAAGCAAGCAAAAUUUCCGAAAAAAGAAAAAGUUUUUUGUGUGUUGGCAAAUGAUAGGAUGACCUCAAGUAGCACCUGGAGUUAUAUGCUAUGCUAUAGCUGUCUCGUAGCUGGCUCCCUCACAUUACUAUUUUAAAAACUCCAUCCUCGCUUGCAUUCUCUCUCUCUCUCUCUGCGCGGAAAUCAUCACCUCUCUCUCACACCUGCUAUGCUAAUGUGCUUUCUCUCUCUAGUUCGUCUGUAUGUCUCCCCUCUUCUCUCAUUUGCUGCGUUGUUUCUGAUUUGAUUGACAGUGAAUGUGGCUGUUGUCUGCUUGGUGAUCGUACUAUAGUUAGGGUUUAAUUUUGAGGUUAGGGUUUUGAUUCCGUGUUAUUGGAGAUUUCUAACUGUUUUCCUCCUAAUUCUUUUUGCAGUUAAGCAGUUCAUCGGGUGCUAACCGGUGCUGCAGAGGAUUGCUAGUUGGAGUUGCGUACUUGGGGGAUUGAAGAAAUUCAAGUUGAGAUAAUUGUUCGCCGGUUUGGGGGGGACUUGCCGCCGGCGAGAUGAGCGCGUCUAGAUUUAUUAAGUGCGUGACCGUGGGCGACGGAGCUGUGGGUAAAACUUGCUUGCUCAUCUCUUACACUAGCAAUACUUUUCCAACUGUAAGUUUUAUUCUCCAACUCUUUUGAUUUUUGGCUGUUCUUUAAUUUACAUUUUCUGUUGCAUCGUAACUUUUUGUUAAUUGUUGAGCUUAUUUCAAUUCGGGUAAGAGCAGGUAAUGUUGAUGUUAAUAUUGUUCAAGCUUUUGUAGUCAAUGUAGUUCUGGCAUGGUUGGGAAACAAUGAUUUUUUUCCCUUGCGUCUUCGAGCAUUCUAAUAUUGAUAGGAAUUUGGUGGCAUGGACUGUUGGACUGUAAUAAUUUGGAGCUUCUAGUUUUCAUUCUGUUCUGGUAGUAUAAGUUUAGGCUCGGGGGUGGAGGUGGGAGUAAGAUUUUUGAAUAAGUGCCUGAGGAAUACAUUUCUUUUUCUGGAUACGGUUUUGAACAAUCAGACGUGUGAAAAAAAGGAGGAUUGGAAUAUGCUUUUGACUGAAUCCUUUUUACCUUUUUGUCACGCACAUAGCCUCCCUUUUCAAGUUACCAAUUUUGUUUUUGAAUUCAUUUGGUUUAGCUUUAUCAAUUAUGACAUGAAUACGAAUUCAAAAAAUAGAAUAUUUAUCCAUCAAUCAUCAUUGGAUAUGUAGAUUCCUUUUUUCUUUUAGUGUUUUCUGAUUUACUUUUCACUGUGUCGCCUUUUUUAUUCAAAUGUAGAUCUUCUGAGUAACAUAAUUUUGUAACUCACUUUUCAUUGAUAUAGAUUAUGUUUAAGGAUAUUGAAUAUACCAAAAGUGCAUAGACAAGUAAAAGUUUGCAAACUUUUCUCUGCUCCCUCACCGAACCUGUGAGCUUUUAUCUUUUGGGUUCGUUGUUAAAACUCAUGUAGGAUGGUUAUGAACUUCUUAACAGAUUUUGAUGUAGAUGCCGCUUAAAAAGAGUGAAUUAUGGUACCUAUUGGACUGUAGGCUCUGCUUCACUUUGUCCCGUUUACUUUUCUUUUGUGCUCUACAACAUAUCAUGUUCAAAUUGGUUACACUCAAGUCACAUGCUAUUAUAGUUUUCAGCAGUGGAAAAUUUUCUUCUUGGUUACUAGGUUUCUAACUGGAUCUUUUUUGUUUUGGCUUAAACAGGAUUAUGUCCCAACUGUUUUUGAUAAUUUCAGUGCCAAUGUCGUAGUGGACGGUAGCACUGUUAAUCUAGGAUUGUGGGAUACUGCAGGUAAAUUAAUAUUCCCGUGCAUACUUUCUAAUUCAUCUUUCAAAAAACUACAGAACAGGCAGUCACACUUUAUUCUACAGGCCAAGAGGAUUACAAUAGAUUGAGACCAUUGAGCUACCGUGGGGCUGAUGUCUUUAUUCUCGCCUUCUCUCUUAUUAGCAAGGCUAGUUACGAGAAUGUCUCCAAGAAGGUGAGCCUUCAAUUUACCUUAGUGGGGUGAGAAUCCUAACCUCUUCAUAGCUUUUGGUUUCUCGGAUAACAGGUUAUUAAAAGGGGAGGAAAGUGAAUUGAGAAAUCAAGAGUAAUUUUAUUCUAUUUUGCUUCUCUUCAUUGGGGAUCAAAAUUUCCUAGCACUUCGUAAACCUUUUAGGGAUCGUUUGGUUUGAUGGAUGGGAUAGAUAAGAUUGAUAGAAUUGGAGAGUGAUUAAAUAAUCCACCAACUUCGGGGUACUAAAUAAUCACUCAAUUGCAUGAUU